rnacentral:ncRNA from 1 species
GAACGCCGUGUGCGGUGAAAGUCGCACGCACGGUGUGGAGCGGGGGAAAAUCCGAAGAUAACAUCAAAGGAUUACCUAUCGCUAU